rnacentral:rRNA from 1 species
AGUGAGGAAUAUUGGGCAAUGGACGCAAGUCUGACCCAGCCAUGCCGCGUGCAGGAUGAAUGCCCUAUGGGUUGUAAACUGCUUUUAUUUGGGAAGAAACCCACGCUCGUGAGCGUGGCUGACGGUACCAAAAGAAUAAGCAUCGGCUAACUCCGUGCCAGCAGCCGCGGUAAUACGGAGGAUGCAAGCGUUAUCCGGAUUUAUUGGGUUUAAAGGGUGCGCAGGCGGGAAAUUAAGUCAGUGGUGAAAUCCUGCAGCUUAACUGCAGAACUGCCAUUGAUACUGGUUUCCUUGAGUGCAGUUGAGGUGGGCGGAAUGUGUAAUGUAGUGGUGAAAUGCUUAGAUAUUACACAGAACACCAAUUGCGUAGGCAGCUCACUAAACUGUUACUGACGCUCAGGCACGAAAGCGUGGGGAGCGAACAGGAUUAGAUACCCUGGUAGUCCACGCUGUAAACGAUGAUCACUCGUUGUUGGCGAUACAUUGUCAGCGACCAAGCGAAAGCAUUAAGUGAUCCACCUGGGGAGUACGGUCGCAAGAUUGAAACUCAAAGGAAUUGACGGGGGCCCGCACAAGCGGAGGAACAUGUGGUUUAAUUCGAUGAUACGCGAGGAACCUUACCUGGGCUUAAAUGCAGGGCGAUUUUUCCCGAAAGGGAUUUUUCUUCGGACGACCUGCAAGGUGCUGCAUGGUUGUCGUCAGCUCGUGCCGUGAGGUGUCGGGUUAAGUCCCAUAACGAGCGCAACCCUCAUCGUUAGUUGCCAUCGGGUAAUGCCGGGGACUUUAACGAAACUGCCGGUGUAAACCGUGAGGAAGGUGGGGAUGACGUCAAAUCAGCACGGCCCUUAUGUCCAGGGCUACACACGUGUUACAAUGGCCGAUACAAAGGGCAGCUACCUGGUGACAGGAUGCUAAUCUCAAAAGUUGGUCUCAGUUCGGAUCGAAGUCUGCAACUCGACUUCGUGAAGUUGGAUUCGCUAGUAAUCGCGCAUCAGCAACGGCGCGGUGAAUACGU